rnacentral:rRNA from 1 species
AUUGAACGCUGGCGGCAGGCCUAACACAUGCAAGUCGAGCGGCAGCGGAAAGUAGCUUGCUACUUUGCCGGCGAGCGGCGGACGGGUGAGUAAUGUCUGGGAAACUGCCUGAUGGAGGGGGAUAACUACUGGAAACGGUAGCUAAUACCGCAUAACGUCGCAAGACCAAAGAGGGGGACCUUCGGGCCUCUUGCCAUCAGAUGUGCCCAGAUGGGAUUAGCUAGUAGGUGGGGUAACGGCUCACCUAGGCGACGAUCCCUAGCUGGUCUGAGAGGAUGAGCAGCCACACUGGAACUGAGACACGGUCCAGACUCCUACGGGAGGCAGCAGUGGGGAGUAUUGCACAAUGGGCGCAAGCCUGAUGCAGCCAUGCCGCGUGUAUGAAGAAGGCCUUCGGGUUGUAAAGUACUUUCAGCGGGGAGGAAGGCGAUAAGGUUAAUAACCUUGUCGAUUGACGUUACCCGCAGAAGAAGCACUGGCUAACUCCGUGCCAGCCGCCGCAGUAA